GCAUGUGCAUAUACUGUUGUCUCAGCACCAUUUUUUGAAGGGACUGUUCUUUCCUCCUUAAAAGGGUUCAGCAUCUUUGUUAAAAAUCAAUUAGCCAUGGAUGUGUGGGCUUACUUCUGGACUCUCAGUUCUGUUCCAUUAGUCUAUAUGUCUAUUCUUAUUUCAGCACCACAAUAUUUUGAUUACUGUAGGUUUGUAGUAAGUUUUGUUUGUUUGUUUGUUUUUUAUUGUUUUUUUUUUUUUGAUUGGUAGUAAGUUUUGAAAUCAGGAAGUAUGAAUCCUCCAACUUUGUUCUUGUUUUUUUAGGAUUGUUUUGGCUAUUCAGAGCCCCUUGCAAUUUCAUAUGAAUUUGAACAUUGCUUUUCCAUUUCUACAAGAAGGCUACUGGAAUUUUGGCUAUGUUUUAUCAGUGGGUGGCAAGCAGAUGAGAGAUAGAGAAGAUUCUGGUUUCAAAGCAAAUAAACACCAACCUGGAUGAUGGAAUGUCCACAGGCAAAACAAAGCAGGAAAAAAAUGCAUAUAUCCUGCUUGGCCAAAUGGAUAUCCUGAGGAGGGUUAUUUCAAGAGAGGAGGUGUCAUCAGGACCAGGGGCUGAUGGGAGUUGCCUGAGGCAGACGGGAGAGUGUGGAAGAACUGGAAAAACUUGGGUGUUGCUGAAGGUAAGUUGUUUGGGUAUCUGUGAAGGAACCUGUUGGGUCAUUUCUACUCUUCACUAUCCUUUUGUCAGUUUGUGACACAUGUGAAUGAUAAUCUAAACAAAAGCAGGGAGAAAUGGGAAAAUGGUUUCCCUCUUUAACUUAUCUUGGUUUAUUUCAACCUCUAUUGCAGCAAAUGCAAUGAACAUUCAAAAAGAAAGAAAUAUCGAGGAUCAUCAGUGUUUAAAGGCAAAUUCUGAAACUUAAACGUUUGUACAUGACUGUAAUUUGUUGAAAUCUGUUUUUCCAUUUAGCCCACUUGACCUGUUAAAAUUGAGCUCUUUUUAAGUUAAGCAUCAUGGAAAUGUAGUUAUUUGAUAAAUAAUUGUGUUUCUCUGAAUAAAAAAAAAAAGGAAAAGUAAAUAUUCCUAGCCAUAGAUAUAGAUAUAGAUAUACAGAUAUACUCUUUGUUAAAUUCAUGAAUAUAUGCUAAAGUCAUGAAUAUACUUUUUGCUAAAUUAAGGAGCACCUAUAAAACAAAAAUGUUUAUUUGUUUUAGGACUAAAUUAUUACUGAGCUUCUCCUCAUUCACAAUUAUACUUUGGUUUAUGAAGUAUCAGAUUGGUUUUGGCGGAAAGGAGUAGAUUUGCUUGUCCUGAAAAACAGAUUUUGGAUAAGGGGGAUUUCAGUCUGAAAGAAUAGAUUUCUUUUAACUUAAUCCAAUCACGUGUGUGUGUGUGUGUGUGUGUGUGUGUGUGUGUGUGUGUUCCUUUCUAGCUGACUCACCAUAUUUUUCCCCUUCAGAGUUAUAGAAGUUUAUUUGGGACUCCUGUUUGGCACAACUAAACUGUCUGUUUUAGAGAUUAUCCUACUUCAGCAAUGGGUGUGGUUUUUGUCUUUUUAAAAUUUUUAUAAAUUUGAGUUUUGUCAGCUCGUUUUCUCCAGCAAUGUUUGGAAACUUGAGAAAGUAGCUCUGAAAGUUAUUUUAUGCAUUGAUCUUGGAAUUAAAAGAACCUGGAACUAGAACUCUCAGAGCCUGAAAGAAACAACUUGUGAUAUAGGUGGGCUAAGUUCCCUCAUCUGAAAUGCAAGGACAAUGGAAGCUCAGAGAUACUGAGUGUGAUUUGUCCAAGCCUGCAAGGCUGGCUAGUGGGAGAGGUUGCUCCAAACCUAGGUUUGCCAGUUCACUGUGCACAUAUAAACAUUUUCUAGUUCUAAUAAAAGAGAGUGCAAAAAUUCCUUGAACACUAAUUACAGCUAAUUUGAAUCAUAGGUUUUGGAUAGGAUUCUCAGGAAGUUGAUGCAGAACCUUCAUAGUUACUUUACAUAAAAUUUAAAUUGAUAGAAAUUAAUAUGUCU